UAACGCAUUGAUGAUUUUGGUAUUUGCAUGUUGUUGUUUUUUAUGAAAAGAAAUACGUGGAAUAAUGCCAGACUUUUUCUUUCAAUACACAUGUUAUUUCACUUCCUGUUUUCUUUUUUGUUUGUAAAGUCAUUUUUACCUGUAUCAAUCGUCAGUGCUAUACAGUGGGGCUCAAAAGUUUGGGAACCUCAGGUAAAAUUUUUUAUUAAUGUGCAUAAAGAAGCCGAGAAAAGAUGGAAAAUCUCCAAAAGGCAUCAAAUGACAGAUUAGACAUACAUAUAAUAUAUAUAUAUAUAUAUAUAUAUAUAUAUAUACAUACUGUAAAAGAUAUA